UAGGGAAUCUUCGGCAAUGGGGGCAACCCUGACCGAGCAACGCCGCGUGAGUGAAGAAGGCUUUCGGAUCGUAAAGCUCUGUUGUAAGAGAAGAACGUGUGUGAGAGUGGAAAGUUCACACAGUGACGGUAACUUACCAGAAAGGGACGGCUAACUACGUGCCAGCAGCCGCGGUAAUACGUAGGUCCCGAGCGUUGUCCGGAUUUAUUGGGCGUAAAGCGAGCGCAGGCGGUUUAAUAAGUCUGAAGUUAAAGGCAGUGGCUUAACCAUUGUUCGCUUUGGAAACUGUUAAACUUGAGUGCAGAAGGGGAGAGUGGAAUUCCAUGUGUAGCGGUGAAAUGCGUAGAUAUAUGGAGGAACACCGGUGGCGAAAGCGGCUCUCUGGUCUGUAACUGACGCUGAGGCUCGAAAGCGUGGGGAGCAAACAGG
rnacentral:rRNA from 1 species